GACAGAGGAUGCAAGCGUUAUCCGGAAUGAUUGGGCGUAAAGCGUCUGUAGGUGGCUUUUCAAGUCCGCCGUCAAAUCUCAGGGCUCAACCCUGGACAGGCGGUGGAAACUACCAAGCUGGAGUACGGUAGGGGCAGAGGGAAUUUCCGGUGGAGCGGUGAAAUGCAUUGAGAUCGGAAAGAACACCAACGGCGAAGGCAGUCUGCUGGGCCGACACUGACACUGAGAGACGAAAGCUAGGGGAGCAAAUGGG
rnacentral:rRNA from 1 species